rnacentral:rRNA from 1 species
GAUGAACGCUGACAGAAUGCUUAACACAUGCAAGUCGAUUCAAGUUACCUUCGGGUAACGAGGAUGGCGGACGGGUGAGUAACGCGUAAGGAACUUGCCUCUUGGUCUGGGACAACUGUUGGAAACGACAGCUAAUACCGGAUAUUAUGAGAUUCUCGCAUGGGAAACUUAUGAAAGCUAUAUGCGCCAAGAGAGAGCCUUGCGUUCCAUUAGCUAGUUGGUGGGGUAACGGCCCACCAAGGCGACGAUGGAUAGCCGGCCUGAGAGGGUGAACGGCCACAAGGGGACUGAGACACGGCCCUGACUCCUACGGGAGGCAGCAGUGGGGAAUAUUGGACAAUGGGCCACAAGCCUGAUCCAGCAAGUCUGUGUGCACGAUGAAGGUCUUCGGAUUGUAAAGUGCUUUCAGUUGGGAAGAAGUAAGUGACGGUACCAACAGAAGAAGCGACGGCUAAAUACGUGCCAGCCGCCGCCGUAA